rnacentral:rRNA from 1 species
AUAUUGCACAAUGGGCGAAAGCCUGAUGCAGCGACGCCGCGUGAGGGAUGACGGCCUUCGGGUUGUAAACCUCUUUCAGCUCCGAAGAAGCGCAAGUGACGGUAGGAGCAGAAGAAGCACCGGCUAACUACGUGCCAGCAGCCGCGGUAAUACGUAGGGUGCAAGCGUUGUCCGGAAUUAUUGGGCGUAAAGAGCUCGUAGGCGGUGUGUCGCGUCUGCUGUGAAAACUCAGGGCUCAACUCUGAGCUUGCAGUGGGUACGGGCACACUUGAGUGCUGUAGGGGAGACUGGAAUUCCUGGUGUAGCGGUGAAAUGCGCAGAUAUCAGGAGGAACACCGGUGGCGAAGGCGGGUCUCUGGGCAGUUACUGACGCUGAGGAGCGAAAGCAUGGGGAGCGAACAG